rnacentral:rRNA from 1 species
AGAGUUUGAUCCUGGCUCAGGAUGAACGCCGGCGGUGUGCCUAAUACAUGCAAGUCGAACGCGUUGGCCCAAUUGAUUGAUGGUGCUUGCACCUGAUUGAUUUUGGUCGCCAACGAGUGGCGGACGGGUGAGUAACACGUAGGUAACCUGCCCAGAAGCGGGGGACAACAUUUGGAAACAGAUGCUAAUACCGCAUAACAGCGUUGUUCGCAUGAACAACGCUUAAAAGAUGGCUUCUCGCUAUCACUUCUGGAUGGACCUGCGGUGCAUUAGCUUGUUGGUGGGGUAACGGCCUACCAAGGCGAUGAUGCAUAGCCGAGUUGAGAGACUGAUCGGCCACAAUGGGACUGAGACACGGCCCAUACUCCUACGGGAGGCAGCAGUAGGGAAUCUUCCACAAUGGGCGCAAGCCUGAUGGAGCAACACCGCGUGAGUGAAGAAGGGUUUCGGCUCGUAAAGCUCUGUUGUUAAAGAAGAACACGUAUGAGAGUAACUGUUCAUACGUUGACGGUAUUUAACCAGAAAGUCACGGCUAACUACGUGCCAGCAGCCGCGGUAAUACGUAGGUGGCAAGCGUUAUCCGGAUUUAUUGGGCGUAAAGAGAGUGCAGGCGGUUUUCUAAGUCUGAUGUGAAAGCCUUCGGCUUAACCGGAGAAGUGCAUCGGAAACUGGAUAACUUGAGUGCAGAAGAGGGUAGUGGAACUCCAUGUGUAGCGGUGGAAUGCGUAGAUAUAUGGAAGAACACCAGUGGCGAAGGCGGCUACCUGGUCUGCAACUGACGCUGAGACUCGAAAGCAUGGGUAGCGAACAGGAUUAGAUACCCUGGUAGUCCAUGCCGUAAACGAUGAGUGCAAGGGGGUUGGAGGGUUUCCGCCCUUCAGUGCCGGAGCUAACGCAUUAAGCACUCCGCCUGGGGAGUCGACCGCAAGGUGAAAUCAAAGGAAUUGACGGGGCCGCCAACAAGCGGUGGAGCAUGUGGUUUAAUUCGAAGCUACGCGAAGAACCUUACCAGGUCUUGACAUCUUGCGCCAACCCUAGAGAUAGGGCGUUUCCUUCGGGAACGCAAUGACAGGUGGUGCAUGGUCGUCGUCAGCUCGUGUCGUGAGAUG